rnacentral:piRNA from 1 species
GCAGAUUACUGAUGGUUUGGCUUG